rnacentral:rRNA from 1 species
AAUUAAGUCAGAUGUGAAAGCCCCGAGCUUAACUUGGGAAUUGCAUCUGAAACUGGUUGGCUAGAGUCUUGUAGAGGGGGGUAGAAUUCCAUGUGUAGCGGUGAAAUGCGUAGAGAUGUGGAGGAAUACCGGUGGCGAAGGCGGCCCCCUGGACAAAGACUGACGCUCAGGUGCGAAAGCGUGGGGAGCAAACAGGAUUAGAUACCCUGGUAGUCCACGCUGUAAACGAUGUCGAUUUAGAGGUUGUGGUCUUGAACCGUGGCUUCUGGAGCUAACGCGUUAA